rnacentral:tRNA from 1 species
GGGAAUGUAGUUAAAAUAACAUCUAAUUUGCAAUUAGAAGAUACUUAAAAGUCUUUCUCA